rnacentral:lncRNA from 1 species
ACACAUUUNGAACACAUAUACACACACAGUUACAGUGAGAAUUCACCGCUCACAAAUUCCCCCAGAAGUCCUUUUGAUAUCACCAUUAAUCAGCAAAAAAAUCAAGAAAUCCCGCUGUAGCUCAAGAAACCAUAAUGGGUCAUUGAAAGAUUCCACAUUCUUCCAAGAUUUCUUCAAAAAUGACAAUGCUGCUAACUCAAAGAGAAAAAGCCCAGGAAAAUUUGCGAAUGCGAGAGAGAUUGAGAAUUAGGGAGAAGGGGUCACAGAGUUUUGGGUGCAUUCGUUUAGGGACGGGGUGCAUUUGGGGGUUUAGUUGGACAUUGAAGAGACGUUACGCUAACCAUAAUCAAGAAAAU